UAAUGCAAUGACAACCAUGCAUUUUUAAGUGUGACUUAGGUGUCCAAAUACUUAUAUAUUUCUGUGAUCUGAUAGGAGUGCACUUAAGAUGAGUCACAAUCUACCUGCCUGGCAUGUCCCUGUGCUACACUGAUAACAUCUCACGCUCGGGUGUUAUGCUGCGUUGAUAAGCAGGGCAUUCUCUCUUGGCCCAGUCCGAACCCUGAAAAUAUUCUGUUCUUCAGAAAAUCAUUUUCAUCACAAGAAACAGACAAACAGAGACAAAAAGAGAUUAAGAGAGAAUAAAAAGAGGUGGAAGAGUUUGGCUUGAAAGACCCUAUGCAGCUGCAUGUGAGAUGGUGUGCAUCAUGCAGGAGUACGGUGAGGUGGUGUGUUGUCUCGGGAGCACUCAGAACAUCAGCAACAAUGCAAUCUUCUUACAAAGUGACAUCAGGAUUGCAUUAGAUCCUCUGGUUUCCACCUGUUGUUGGUCUACUUCUGAUCUCUCUGUUGGGACUGGGAACGAGUCCGGAUCCAUGAGUGUGUUUCAGCUCCCUAGCGUCAUCUGUGGGCUGACCUGUGCAGCACAGCUCAAACAACAGGACAAACACUGCACUGCACUGCACAUAAUUAAAGGGAUAGUUCACCCAAACAGAUCUCAUCCCAUAUUUACUGCCAUAGUAGGGAAAAUAAAUACUAUGGGAGUCAAAUGGGGGAUGAGAUCUGUUUUGUUACUGACAUUCUUCCAAAUAUCUUCCUUUGUGUUUAGCAGAACAAAGAAAUUUAUACAGAUUUGGAACAAACCGAGGGUGACUAAAUGAUGAUAGAAUUUUCAUUUAUGGGUGAACUAUCCCUUUAAAUGCUUUUGUCAAAGUUGUCAAAUGCUUUUUAAUACUUUUUAUUGGUUAGAUAUUUGCAAAACCCAGUGAAAAACAUAAAGGGCGACUAAUAAUAAUAAUGUAUUUCAAAAAAUAAAAAUCCUGAAAUAUGGGGAAAUGAGGUUUCAGAAGGACAGUGGCGAUAUAUAAAUCACUUUGCAAGAUGACAAUGUUAAAGUGUAUUUCAUUUACACUUUACAUUUACAUUAGGCAUUUAGCAGACACUUAUAUAUAUUAUUAGUAAGUAUAUAAGUUAUAAGUUUAGUAUCAGUAAGGUAGCCUAUAUGUUAACAUUAACGCAGUAUUCAAAGUGUAUAGUUUCUGCACCACUAGCAUCCACUUUUGCACUUUUUAUAGGACCAAAUGUACACUGUAAAAAGAUCACAUAACAAAAAAACAGUAAAACAAUUUUUUUA